ensembl:lncRNA
CGCUCAGGGCUGAAACCAUCCCGGUUGCUACGUGACUUCGCGUGGCUCCCAGUCUGUGACGCUGGGACCGUGCAACCGGGCCAGUGGCUGCUCGCUUUUGAGAGCAGAUUUGACCAUGUAGUUGCGGUGACUGUUUCGGCGUGAAUCAUUCCGAAGCCAGAAUAGUGAGUUUAUUUGACGUUUGCCUAACGACGUUUUGACUUGUUUCGUGUUGAGUUACUUUAUCACCGUGCUGGACAGAUCUACAAUUGAAGGUAAUCCAGAUUACGGUGUCGUGGUUCUUCUCCGUGUUCCUAGACGAAGUGGCUGUACAUGGGGCCGAGCCAGCGUCCAUCACUGUAUGUGAUUUAUAAAUUAGAACACAUUAACAUGUCUGUUCAGUAAUCUCAGUAUCAUAUCCUGAUGUUAUACACCACUGUCCAAGCUGUCCUCCAACGUAACAACUGUUCUCUUGUGUGUUUUUGUGUGUGCAUAUCUGUGUGUGUGUGUGUGUGUGUGUGUGUGUGUGUGACCAGUAACUGUCCAUUCCUAACAACGGUGGGUAUUAGGAUAGGAACAGUAGUGGUUUGGGAUAGGUUCAUCUGGUGGUUCAGGUCUAUAGACUCCCAUAAUGAUCGUUCUGGGUUCAUACCAACUGCCUGCAGUACACCUGUAGGCAUCCUUGAGCGACGUGCCUGGUCACCAAUGAAAUAUGCUCAAUAAAAAGACUAGUGAUAAGGAUAUAAGUAUUAUUUAUAUAUUUCAGGCCAACAGUGCUUUAGAGGAGUUUUUUUGUUGUGAUAUAAUUGAAACACAUUAAUGAUAAAGAAUUUGGUUGUGCAUGAGUCAUACUCUUUUUUGUCACACGUCAUGUGCUUGUAUGUAGGCGUGGGGGGGAAUUUACUCAUAUCUUCUAUGAUUCUGAAUUGAUUUACUUCUUCCAAAAAUUGUUGUAUUUAAUCUUUUCCUUUUUUAAUAAUUAUUAUUUCCCCCUUAUCCUAGGUUUGCCUUUGUUUGUUUCAAUACUGCAAACAGUUGAUUAAUUAUUUUAAAUAUACAAACUACAUAAUCUUAUAUACACACUGUACUCCAAAAUGUUCAACCUUGCCUUUCUUAGCGCAUCAAAGUCAAUCAAGAAGUGAUAUUAAAGCAGGAAUGGUUUGAGUGGAGAAAUUGAAUCUAAUCAUGAAUCUUAUCAUGAGACACUGAAAGAUUCAAACCCCUAUCUAUUUUUGUGUUUUUCUCUCAGUUUCUUUAGACAGGGACUGGCCCUUCCUCCUUCAGUCAUUACCCUUCUUUAUCAUUACUCUGACAGGAAGCACCUUUCUUCACGACUUUCCUUCUUUCUACUCAGUCCCUCCCCUUCUCCCUCAAUGGCUCUCCUUCUGUGCUGCUUCUUUUUCGGUUUAUUUAUGUGUGUGUUUGUGUUUGUGUGCAUGUGUGUGAGUGUGUGUGUGUGUGUGUGUGUGUGUGUGUGUGUGUGUGUGUGUGUGUGUGCGUGUGUCUAUCUGUGUGAAGUGAACAACUUAAAUCACAUCAUGAACAAAUAGUUUCUCAGCCCUUGCUGUGUUGUGGUGGACUUCAAGGAGCUACAUUUCAUGCAGUUCAGUGUUCAGAUUAGAUGAGGGACUUGUUUGUUGUUAUGCAUUUAUUAAGCAUACUUCUCGCCAAAACUUUGACAAGAAGUAUGAAUGUAAAAGUUCAUACAACCGAGUUUACCGUAAGUUUGUUUUCUCUGCAGCAUGUUUACUUUUUUGGGGUUGAGUGAUACUAUCUGUUUUUGACCAGACAGGUAAAAAAUGGAAGCAUAGGAGAGGGAGAAAAAUGCUUUAAUCAUUCACAAUCAUGCAAAACAAUAAAGUGUAUUUAUCAUGCAACAAACUGGACUUGGAAAGCUGUUUUCUGUCAGGAAUAGUUGACCCAAUAUAUUUCAAGGUUAAAUAAGAGGCUGUUAUUGUGAUGGCUCAUAGUGAGUUGAUCAAAGCCUGUUCUGGUCACUUGUUGAUUUGCUGUGUAUAAGUAUGUAGACACACAUACUUAUGCACUGAACACACAUGCCCAUGUAGACCCAAUCACAUAAAGGAAUUAA